GAUGAAGAACGUAGCGAAAUGCGAUAAGUAAUGUGAAUUGCAGAAUUCAGUGAAUCAUCGAAUCUUUGAACGCACAUUGCGCCCGCCAGUAUUCUGGCGGGCAUGCCUGUUCGAGCGUCAUUACAACCCUCAGGCCCCCGGGCCUGGCGUUGGGGAUCGGCGGAAGCCCCCUGUGGGCACACGCCGUCCCUCAAAUACAGUGGCGGUCCCGCCGCAGCUUCCAUUGCGUAGUAGCUAACACCUCGCAACUGGAGAGCGGCGCGGCCAUGCCGUAAAACACCCAACUUCUGAAUGUUGACCUCGUAUCAGGUAGGAAUACCCGCUGAACUUAAGCAUAUCAAUAAGCGGAGGA
rnacentral:misc_RNA from 1 species